rnacentral:rRNA from 1 species
GAUGAACGCUGGCGGCGUGCCUAAUACAUGCAAGUAGAACGCUGAAGGAGGAGCUUGCUCUUCUGGAUGAGUUGCGAACGGGUGAGUAACGCGUAGGUAACCUGCCUGGUAGCGGGGGAUAACUAUUGGAAACGAUAGCUAAUACCGCAUGACAACAGUUAUUGCAUGAUAACUGUUUAAAAGGGGCAACUGCUCCACUACCAGAUGGACCUGCGUUGUAUUAGCUAGUUGGUGAGGUAACGGCUCACCAAGGCGACGAUACAUAGCCGGCCUGAGAGGGGGGUCGGCCACACUGGGACUGGGACACGGCCCAGACUCCUACGGGAGGCAGCAGUAGGGAAUCUUCGGCAAUGGACGGAAGUCUGACCGAGCAACGCCGCGUGAGUGAAGAAGGUUUUCGGAUCGUAAAGCUCUGUUGUAAGAGAAGAACGAGUGUGAGAGUGGAAAGUUCACACUGUGACGGUAUCUUACCAGAAAGGGACGGCUAACUACGUG